ensembl:snoRNA
UGGACCAGUGAUGAUGGCUGGUGGCGUAGGAGUCAUGGACGAUGAAUACUACGUGUCUGGAACUCUGAGGUCCAA